rnacentral:rRNA from 1 species
GACGAACGCUGGCGGCGUGCUUAACACAUGCAAGUCGAACGGAAAGGCCCUGCUUGCAGGGUACUCGAGUGGCGAACGGGUGAGUAACACGUGGGUGAUCUGCCCUGCACUUCGGGAUAAGCCUGGGAAACUGGGUCUAAUACCGGAUAGGAGCCAUUUUUAGUGUGAUGGUUGGAAAGUUUUUUCGGUGUAGGAUGAGCUCGCGGCCUAUCAGCUUGUUGGUGGGGUAAUGGCCUACCAAGGCGGCGACGGGUAGCCGGCCUGAGAGGGUGGACGGCCACAUUGGGACUGAGAUACGGCCCAGACUCCUACGGGAGGCAGCAGUGGGGAAUAUUGCACAAUGGGCGGAAGCCUGAUGCAGCGACGCCGCGUGGGGGAUGACGGCCUUCGGGUUGUAAACUCCUUUCGCUAGGGACGAAGCUUUUUGUGACGGUACCUAGAUAAGAAGCACCGGCUAACUACGUG